GAUGAACGCUGGCGGCGUGCCUAAUACAUGCAAGUCGAGCGAACAGACGAGGAGCUUGCUCCUCUGACGUUAGCGGCGGACGGGUGAGUAACACGUGGAUAACCUACCUAUAAGACUGGGAUAACUUCGGGAAACCGGAGCUAAUACCGGAUAACAUGUUGAACCGCAUGGUUCAACAGUGAAAGACGGUUUUGCUGUCACUUAUAGAUGGAUCCGCGUCGCAUUAGCUAGUUGGUAAGGUAACGGCUUACCAAGGCAACGAUGCGUAGCCGACCUGAGAGGGGGAUCGGCCACACUGGAACUGAGACCCCGUCCAGACUCCUACGGGAGGCCGCAGUAGGGAAUCUUCCGCAAUGGGCGGAAACCUGACGGAGCAACGGCGCGUGAGUGAAGAAGGUCUUCCGAUCGUAAAACCCUUUUAUUAGGGAAGAACCAAUGUGUAAGUAACCAUGCCCGUCUUGACGGUAACUAAUCAGAAAGCCACGGCUAACUACGUG
rnacentral:rRNA from 1 species